GGAAUCCCAGUGAUUCAGGAUGCAUUGGGGAGAAAUACAGACUGAAGAUAAUUGGUUACCCAUCUAGAAAGAGAUACAUGAAGUCUGGGGGUAAGACCUGCAGUAAUUUCCUUUAAGUUACUGGUCAUGGGGCGUCUCCAGGACUACAGGCUCUUCCUCAGCGGCUGCCAAGCUCCUAUUAGGGAAGCCGGGGAAAUUCUGAAUGCCCCAGUAUACCCUGCUGGAGGCACAGGAAUGCUCUUGGAAGCUUUGUCUGGACAUGCUUUAAUACCAUCCAUUUUUACUGUUGCCACACCAGUCUGCUACUGGUCCCCACUGUAAAUCACAAAGUAUAACACAAUUUCUGUCUGCUCUCAUGCACCUAAAACUAUUGUGGUUUUUGCCUUUCCCUGUCUCAUUAGCUAAAACAAAGUGUUGAUAAAGGCACAGGCCCUUUCUCAAGAAACAAAAUGUUGUCUUUCUUUUUUCUGCAGUGAAACAGAACAUAAAGUCCAGAAAUAAACGUGUAAUUAAAUA
rnacentral:antisense_RNA from 1 species